rnacentral:rRNA from 1 species
AUAUUGCACAAUGAGCGCAAGCCUGAUGCAGCAACGCCGCGUGAGGGACGAAGGCCUUCGGGUUGUAAACCUCUUUUAGUAGGGAAGAAGCGACUGGGUUUUCCUGGGAGUGACGGUACCUGCAGGAAAAGCACCGGCUAACUACGUGCCAGCAGCCGCGGUAAUACGUAGGGUGCAAGCGUUGUCCGGAAUUAUUGGGCGUAAAGAGCUCGUAGGCGGUUUGUCGCGUCUGCUGUGAAAACCCGAGGCUCAACCUCGGGCCUGCAGUGGGUACGGGCAGACUAGAGUGCGGUAGGGGAGAUUGGAAUUCCUGGUGUAGCGGUGGAAUGCGCAGAUAUCAGGAGGAACACCAAUGGCGAAGGCAGAUCUCUGGGCCGUAACUGACGCUGAGGAGCGAAAGCAUGGGGAGCGAACAGGAUUAGAUACCCUGGUAGUCCAUGCCGUAAACGUUGGGAACUAGGUGUGGGGACCAUUCCACGGUCUCCGUGUCGCAGCUAACGCAUUAAGUUCCCCGCCUGGGGAGUACGGCCGCAAGGCUAAAACUCAAAGGAAUUGACGGGGGCCCGCACAAGCGGCGGAGCAUGCGGAUUAAUUCGAUGCAACGCGAAGAACCUUACCAAGGCUUGACAUAUACCGGAAACGGCUGGAAACAGUCGCCCCGCAAGGUCGGUAUACAGGUGGUGCAUGGUUGUCGUCAGCUCGUGUCGUGAGAUGUUGGGUUAAGUCCCGCAACGAGCGCAACCCUCGUCCUAUGUUGCCAGCACGUAAUGGUGGGAACUCAUGGGAUACUGCCGGGGUCAACUCGGAGGAAGGUGGGGAUGACGUCAAAUCAUCAUGCCCCUUAUGUCUUGGGCUUCACGCAUGCUACAAUGGCCGGUACAAAGGGCUGCGAUACCGCAAGGUGGAGCGAAUCCCAAAAAGCCGGUCUCAGUUCGGAUUGAGGUCUGCAACUCGACCUCAUGAAGUCGGAGUCGCUAGUAAUCGCAGAUCAGCAACGCUGCGGUGAAUACGUUCCCGGGCCUUGUACACACCGCC